UACGGAGGGGACUAGCGUUGUUCGGAAUUAUUGGGCGUAAAGCGCACGUAGGCGGAUUUGUAAGUCAGGGGGGAAAUCCUGAGGCUCAACCUCGGAACUGCCUCUGAUACUGCAAAUCUCGAGUCCGGAAGAGGUGAGUGGAAUUCCUAGUGUAGAGGUGAAAUUCGUAGAUAUUAGGAAGAACACCAGUGGCGAAGGCGGCUCACUGGUCCGGUACUGACGCUGAGGUGCGAAAGCGUGGGGAGCAAACAGG
rnacentral:rRNA from 1 species